UACAGAGGGGGCAAGCGUUGUCCGGAUUUAUUGGGCGUAAAGAGCGUGUAGGCGGCCUGACAGGUCUGCUGUGAAAACUCGAGGCUCAACCUCGAGAUGUCGGCGGAAACCGUCUGGCUAGAGUCCGGAAGAGGAGAGUGGAAUUCCUGGUGUAGCGGUGAAAUGCGCAGAUAUCAGGAAGAACACCUAUGGCGAAGGCAGCUCUCUGGGACGGUACUGACGCUGAGACGCGAAAGCGUGGGGAGCGAACAGG
rnacentral:rRNA from 1 species